CACAGACGCCUUCACGUGACACUCUACCUGCAAGUGAGAAGUGUGUGGGGUGAGGUGGAUAGCGGCACCACUGUUACGUCUUAUCCUAGGAGUUGGUUUGGGUGGCCGGCGGUGACACUGCUGGGGUGGCGGCGCUGGUCGGGGUGACUCAAGGCUGCACUCAGGCAUGCACAGAUGUUAUAUGAAUUUCGCUUUAUAAGCACUUCAAUGACUGCCUCUCUCCAUCACAUCACUGGCAUUACAAAGCUGGGAGGAAAUACAUCUGCGAUCCAGCAUUACCUCAAAAGAAUGCAGGGAUGCGAAGGUGCAGGAUUAUCUCACGGUGGUGCUGCGGUGAUGACACACUCACCUGUGCGGUUGUGGACGUGAGCAGCUAUUACAAUAAGAUAUGGUGCGGAAAUCGUCACAAAUAUAGACAAUGAAACUGGUUAAUCCGAAUAACAGAAUCCCUAACACACACACACACACACACACACACACACACACACACACACACACACACACACACACACACACACACACACUACUGGUUUGUAAGAUUCUGGAGCAAACGUAUGUAAAGUAUUGCUGCGUGACCUAACAACAAACAUGAUCCUGUUUUCCAAACAGGUUGCGGCAGCAAGCAGGUCAUGAGCCAUGCCGCGGCUUCAUUACUGGCUUUCACUUGUACAUUAUUUCGAUCCUUGUUGCCUUUCACGGAAGCUUCUCGUAUAUAUUUAUGACUCUCUCUCUCUCUCUCUCUCUCUCUCUCUCUCUCUCUCUCUCUCUCUCUCUCUCUCUCUCUCUCUCUCUCUCUCUCUCUCUCUCUCUCUCUCUCUCUCUCUCUCUCUCUCUCUCUCUCUCUCUCUCUCUCUCUCU